CCUACGGGAGGCAGCAGUGGGGAAUCUUGCGCAAUGGGCGAAAGCCUGACGCAGCCAUGCCGCGUGAAUGAUGAAGGUCUUAGGAUUGUAAAAUUCUUUCACCGGGGACGAUAAUGACGGUACCCGGAGAAGAAGCCCCGGCUAACUUCGUGCCAGCAGCCGCGGUAAUACGAAGGGGGCUAGCGUUGCUCGGAAUUACUGGGCGUAAAGGGAGCGUAGGCGGAUAGUUUAGCCAGAGGUGAAAGCCCAGGGCUCAACCUUGGAAUUGCCUUUGAUACUGGCUAUCUUGAGUUUGGGAGAGGUGAGUGGAACUCCGAGUGUAGAGGUGAAAUUCGUAGAUAUUCGGAAGAACACCAGUGGCGAAGGCGACUCACUGGCCCAAUACUGACGCUGAGGCUCGAAAGCGUGGGGAGCAAACAGGAUUAGAUACCCUGGUAGUCCACGCCGUAAACGAUGAGUGCUAGUGUCGGCGAUGCAUGCAUGUCGGUGACGCAGACUACGACAUAAGUACACUCCGCCGUCGGGUAGGUACGGUCGCGAAGAAGUUAAAACGUUAAAACGGUAAGUUAGUACGGACGUGAGACGUGCCGACGGACGACGACGAGGGAGGAGG
rnacentral:rRNA from 1 species